rnacentral:rRNA from 1 species
GGUUAAGUGAACAAGGGCGCACGGUGGAUGCCUAGGUACCAGGAGCCGAUGAAGGACGGGACUAACUCCGAUAUGCUCCGGGGAGCUGUAAGUAAGCUUUGAUCCGGAGAUUUCCGAAUGGGGAAACCCGG